CCCUUAGAUGUUCUGGGCUGCACGCGUGCUACAAUGGCGCUUGCAACAAGUCUUGCCAACCCGAUAGGGUGAGCGGAUCUUUGAAGAGGCGUCGUGAUCGGGACAGUUGAUUGCAAUUAUUCGACUCGAACGAGGAAUUCCUUGUAAUCGCGAUUCAUCAUAUCGCGCUGAAUACGUCCCUGCCCUUUGUACACACCGCCCGUCGCUCCUACCGAUUGGGUGUGCUGGUGAAAUGUUCGGAUCGGCCGUUUGUCGCGGUUUCCGCGUCAUGUGGCUGAGAAGUUCAUUAAACCCUCCCACCUAGAGGAAGGAGAAGUCGUAACA
rnacentral:rRNA from 1 species